rnacentral:rRNA from 1 species
GAUGAACGCUGGCGGCGUGCCUAAUACAUGCAAGUCGAGCGAAGCGGGGACGGGUGAGUAACAUGUGGAUAACCUCCUAUAAGACUGGGAUAACUUCGGGAAACCUGAGCCAAACCGGAAACUUAUCGAUUGAUCCGCGCUGCAUUAGCUAGUUGGUAAGGUAACGGCUUACCAAGGCAACGAUGCAUAGCCGACCUGAGAGGGUGAUCGGCCACACUGGAACUGAGACACGGUCCAGACUCCUACGGGAGGCAGCAGUAGGGAAUCUCCGCAAUGGGCGAAAGCCUGACGGAGCAACGCCGCGGGAGUGAUGAAGGUCUUCGGGUUGUAAAGCUCUGUUAAUCGGGACGCGGUACCGGAAUAGAAAGCCACGGCUAACUACGUGCCAGCAGCCGCGGUAAUAC